CAACUAUUUAGCUCAGAGAGGUGAGGAGCAGAGGGAGGCAAUGUGAGUCACAGCUAGGGGAGGUGUGAUUAAAAGGUGCUGCAUUAAAAAGUGAUUUAACGCCUUAAAGUAGAGAAAUGUGCAGUGAGACUGUAGGGGCAGGAUCUAUACACCAAAACCAUUUGUACAAGUUUAAUUCUGUAUCUACAGAUUCAAUAAAGAAAACAGAGCAAGCCAGAAUCCAUUCACUUUUCUGCCAUUUGGAGAUGGACCCAGAAACUGUAUUGGUAUGAGAUUUGCUUUGCUCAGUAUGAAACUGGCCAUCACUGUCCUGCUGCAGAAUUUCAACUUCCGGCCUUGCAAAGACACACUGGUGAGAACAGUUGUUUUUACUAACAGCAGCAUGAGGCUAAUUUACUGCGUGUUUGCUUGUAUUUUGGGGCUAUUGUUCUUAACUUGCAUUUAGAAACAUAGAAUGUGAAGGCAGAUAAAAGCCAUUCACCCAUAAAGCCUACACCAUUGUCUUAAUACCUGCAUUAGUCUCUUAUACCUAGGAUAGCCUUAUGCCUAUCCCAUGCAUGUUUAACCCCUUAAGGACACAUGACAUGUGACAUGUCACGAUUCCCUUUUAUUCCAGAAGUUUGGUUCUUACGGGGUUAAACCACUUCACUUUGUUAACCUUUACCACUUUAGCUGGCAAAGCAUGCAUCCACACUUUCUCAGUAAAGAAAUGCGUUCUGAUAUUAUUUUAAACCUUUG